rnacentral:tRNA from 1 species
GGGUGGGUUGUUCAGUGGUAGAAUUCUCGCCUUGCUUGUGGGAGACCCAGGUUUGAUUCCUGGCCAAUGCA